CUUUCAGAAGGAUAAUCUGAUUAUUAGAAAAUUCUUUUUUCUUUUUCUUGCAAGCAUUGGAACUUGGAUGUGACAUAAAGAGGCUAAUUAAAAUGGGGAACAAAUUAGAUUAAUUUCCAUGGAUAUAAAAGUGAUAUAAAAGUCUUGUUCUCAACAGUGACUCCAUAAUAGAACAAUUUCAUUUAUGCCUAAGCAGGUCCUUAUUCUGUCUAGUGAGGAUUGCCACCAGUGUCUUACUGACAAGGUUUUUAUUAUUUCUUUGACAGUUUGAUAGUAAGUCAGUGCUUGCUUCUGGGUUUUCAGUCUCUUAAAACCUGGAUUAUGAAGGCUACUAUAAAAAUAUGGAUAAAAUGCUACCUCCCCAGAGCCCCAUCCGUUAUAGCCUGCACCCCAAUGUGGAGAUUGCUUUUGUAAUAACUGCAAACAACAUGCUCCAUAUGCUAUUAGAGCUGCAAUUCAAAUACUCAGUCACUGGGAAAGGAGUCUCCCAAGCUGUAGAAGACAAGAAGUGGAUACACAAGACACUUGCCUCAUGCAAUGUGGUAUCUCUUGAGGAUGAAGGCAGAGCUAGAUGACAUAGAGAAAAAAAAAAAUCUUUCGGAAGAAAGUGAGAUCAGCUAUUUAAUCCAAACACCAGAAGAAUGCUACUCACAUAAGCUGAUUUGUUUUCCAGAAUAUGAGACUGGAUCUGCUCAUAUAUGAGGAAGCAAAAUGCAAAGCCCUUGAUUAUGGUCUGACUACUGUUCCAGUGCAGACGUGGAGGGUGAGUUGGCAAUCUCCUCAGAGAUGGAGCAACUACAGACAGCUCUUUUUUUUGAUAAUCUUCCUGACACUUGGAUGAGACUGGCUUAUCCAUCAACAUACAGUUGCUCAGUGGAGUCUCCUGAGUAAGGCAAAGAGCCACUGACUGAUGGAGUGAAUGAGGACUGGAGAGCUGACCAAAGGACAGGAAAGCUCUGCCAAGCACAAAGACAGGUAGCACUAGAAGGCAAAACAAGCCCACUCUUCUGAGAUCAGUACAGACUUCUGAGAGAUCAAAAGUGGAAGAAGAAAUCUUGUUCAUCAGAAGACACAUUGAGAAGAGCAUCAGAGGUGAGAAAGGGAUAGCUGUCAACAGGAUGUGGAUGAAAGCACCAGUAACUAAUUUGGAAAAGAUCUAGCACCAGAAUAAAUGUACAACAGCUUACCAGGCUGAGAGAGGACAGGAUCUGCUGGUCUGAAUGAUGGUUUGAUCUGUUACGAUGGGAGUGAAGUCUUCAGUUUGAAAAACAUUAUUCUGCUUCCUGGGUCUGCAAAAGACAGGACCAGACUGCAAGGGAAAGCCUGGAGAGGAUUUCCAUGCUUUAAAAAGAGAAACAGGGGAAGACUGAAUUUCCUGAGGUCACUGAGGAAACGCAUGGCAGCGCUAGGAAAAGAAGCACUCGAGCAGCCGAGAUACCAUCUUCACAGCCAAAAACAGAUAGGUUUUCUCUGCAGUGUGACAUAACAGCAAAGACAGAGCAGUUUAACCAUUCCGGUGCAGUGAACAACUUCCGCGCUGCUGUGAGCUUGACUCCCAGCCUCAAGAUCUCACCCUCCCUAGUGUUGUCUGGAUAUCAAUUUUUUUCAACCCCCAGUCCUUCCUCACAGGUGUGGAGGAACCUCAGUCUCACCAACACUGGAUGAAAAAUACCUGUGUUUCCAGAUAGGCUGUCAAACAAAGCAUAACCUCCCUCAUCUCACUAGUGGUGGGAUUUGGUGGCACUUGCCGAAUGAUCUUCACACAAAGAGCAACUACAAGACAGCUUCUCUCCCCUGUUUGUAUUUUCCCAGAAACACACUAACCACAGCACUGCAGAGCUCAGUACAACUACAGAUCCACAAAUAUUAUUGAGCUCUUCCUCUGUUAUGUCCUCAACUGGGCGCACAACGUGUGGAAAAGCCAUGGCA